UAAGGAGACCGCCGGUAGACAAACCGGAGGAAGGUGGGGAUGACGUCAAGUCAUCAUGGCCCUUACGGCCUGGGCUACACACGUGCUACAAUGGUCGGUACAAAGGGUUGCCAAGCCGCGAGGUGGAGCUAAUCCCAUAAAACCGAUCGUAGUCCGGAUCGCAGUCUGCAACUCGACUGCGUGAAGUCGGAAUCGCUAGUAAUCGUGAAUCAGAAUGUCACGGUGAAUACGUUCCCGGGCCUU
rnacentral:rRNA from 1 species